rnacentral:rRNA from 1 species
UACAGAGGGGGCAAGCGUUGUUCGGAAUUACUGGGCGUAAAGGGCGCGUAGGCGGCCCGCUAAGUCGAACGUGAAAUCCCCGGGCUCAACCCGGGAACUGCGUCCGAUACUGGUGGGCUCGAAUCCGGGAGAGGGAUGCGGAAUUCCAGGUGUAGCGGUGAAAUGCGUAGAUAUCUGGAGGAACACCGGUGGCGAAGGCGGCAUCCUGGACCGGUAUUGACGCUGAGGCGCGAAAGCCAGGGGAGCAAACGGG